CGUUUGACCAAAAUUCUAUUUUUCUGAGCUCGGAUUCUUAUUAAAUUUUCCAAACAUGCCAUAGUGAUUAUAUAACAAAUCAAAUAGCACGUGUGGCUACAGUAUAUUGGACAUAGCCACAUUGGUGGUAACCAUCCAUAAGUGGAUACGCUAUUGCAAUGAUGAAAUGACAGAUUAAAGUAAUCUAUGAAAGGGAAAGGAGAGAUU